rnacentral:rRNA from 1 species
GACGAACGCUGGCGGCGUGCUUAACACAUGCAAGUCGAACGGUAAGGCCCUUCGGGGUACACGAGUGGCGAACGGGUGAGUAACACGUGGGUGAUCUGCCCUGCACUUCGGGAUAAGCCUGGGAAACUGGGUCUAAUACCGGAUAGGACUCCGGACUGCAUGGUCUGGGGUGGAAAGCUUUUGCGGUGUGGGAUGGGCCCGCGGCCUAUCAGCUUGUUGGUGGGGUGAUGGCCGACCAAGGCGACGACGGGUAGCCGGCCUGGGAGGGUGACCGGCCAAACUGGGGCUGAGAUACGGCCCAGACUCCUACGGGAGGCAGCAGUGGGGAAUAUUGCACAAUGGGCGCAAGCCUGAUGCAGCGACGCCGCGUGAGGGAUGACGGCCUUCGGGUUGUAAACCUCUUUCAGCAUCGACGAAGCGAAAGUGACGGUAGGUGCAGAAGAAGGACCGGCCAACUACGUGCCAGCAGCCGCGGUAA